UACGUAGGUGGCAAGCGUUGUCCGGAUUUACUGGGCGUAAAGGGCGCGUAGGCGGCGCAACAAGUCACUUGUGAAAUCUCCGGGCUUAACUCGGAGCGGCCAAGUGAUACUGUCGUGCUAGAGUGCGGAAGGGGCAACUGGAAUUCUCGGUGUAGCGGUGAAAUGCGUAGAUAUCGGGAGGAACACCAGUGGCGAAGGCGACUACCUGGCCUGUUCUUGACGCUGAGGCGCGAAAGCUAGGGGAGCAAACGGG
rnacentral:rRNA from 1 species